rnacentral:rRNA from 1 species
AGAGUUUGAUCCUGGCUCAGGACGAACGCUGGCGGCGUGCUUAACACAUGCAAGUCGAACGGUAAGGCCCUUCGGGGUACACGAGUGGCGAACGGGUGAGUAACACGUGGGUGAUCUGCCCUGCACUUCGGGAUAAGCUUGGGAAACUGGGUCUAAUACCGGAUAUGACUACGAAUCGCAUGGUUUGUGGUGGAAAGCUUUUGCGGUGUGGGAUGGGCCCGCGGCCUAUCAGCUUGUUGGUGGGGUGAUGGCCUACCAAGGCGACGACGGGUAGCCGGCCUGAGAGGGUGACCGGCCACACUGGGACUGAGAUACGGCCCAGACUCCUACGGGAGGCAGCUGUGGGGAAUAUUGCACAAUGGGCGCAAGCCUGAUGCAGCGACGCCGCGUGAGGGAUGACGGCCUUCGGGUUGUAAA